ACACGACUACAUUAGAUACCCCGGUAGUCCAGGGUGUAAACGCUGCGGGCUUGGUGUUGGGGUCCUUUGAGGGCGCCCAGUGCCGGAGAGAAGUUGUUAAGCCUGCUGCUUGGGGAGUACGUCCGCAAGGAUGAAACUUAAAGGAAUUGGCGGGGAGCACCGCAACGGGAGGAGCGUGCGGUUCAAUUGGAUUCAACGCCGGACAACUCACCAGGAGCGACGGUUACAUGAAGGCCAGGCUGAUGACCUUGCCUGAUUUUCCG
rnacentral:rRNA from 1 species